UGUCAUGAAAAAUUCAAAUUUCUGUUUUCUGAUUAGAAGAUCAAUAAACGGUUCAAUAUCAUCACAAUCUCCAAAUCAUAACUUCAUUCAUUUGCAAAUCUAGAGCACAUAUAUCACGAUUUUCUAUCAUGAUUUGCAUUGAUAUAAGUAAGUAUAACACAUAUAUUUUACUCUUAACUUAGCCAUACAUUGCGGAUUUACUUAGUAGAUAGAGUAAUGUUUUUUUUUAAACAACAAAUUUUAUUCAUAAGCUAACCCAACACAAGAAGUGAAGAGGCUAGAGGAAACACACAAGACAACAGAUACAUAAAGACAACUAAACCACCCAAACAAUCCUUAAUACAAUAGAAUAACAUCAGAAAAACCAGCCACCUAAACUUCCUAGUACCAUGAAACAAUGUCAGGUCGCGUUGAUUUUUAGGCUGGAGGGCAAUGUUUGUUUCGGAAGUUCUCGACUUUCUUCAACAAAGGGUAGUGCUUUUUGCAGAAAUCGGGUAUAUGGGGUAUAUGUACUGGUUUAUCUUUUGGGAUUAAAUUUUUGAUUUUUGGGAUUAAUGCUUCAACUGCGGGACCAAAGCUAACAGCAUCAGCAAAAUGUUGUUGAGGAGCAAGCAUAAAAGCAGCAAGGAAUAACACUAAUAAGGAUAAGAAAAAUGAAUUAGCCAUUUUAAGAAGUGAUAUAAUUAUUAGUGUUGGUGCAUAAUACAUAUGGAGUAUACUGGUUUUAUACUAGUUAGAGACUCAAUGUGAGUUUAUGGUCGAUCUAAGUCAUUUACUAAAUGUCAAAAUUGUGUAUGAAUUGAAUUAUUCAACAAUGUUACAAGUUCCAUGUAGUUGCUACUAGUUUAUGAAUUGAAUUAUUCAUUCGAUUCUCCGCGCGACUCAGGUGCAUGCCGAAACCGUUUUAAUUAUAUGAGCAAAUUAAUAAAUAAAUGGGUUGGUGCUUAUGAUGGUGCUAAGCGUUUGCAAGGAAGCGGUUGGUCGAAAGAUGAUGUUUUGGAAAAAGCCCAUGAAUUAUAUGUGAAACACCCCGUUUUCCCAACUUGAAUUUUUUUGCAUAAAUCAGAGUAAAACAACUAAACAGGAUGCUGCACUUCUUUCAAAUCUGAAUAUAGUAAAAUUACUAAUUAUCUCAAUCAUCAAAUUAAAUCUUAUUGCAGCGGAAAUUAGUUCAACGUUUAAAACAACCUUGGCACAAAGGCCUCAAUGUAAAAUCUCAUAAAAUUAUUCCAACAACAUGUUCAUAAAACUUCAUAAAAUAAUACGUAAGGAACGUAAAGCAACAACAAAAUUCUCAUCCCGUUACGUAUCAGAGCACCUAAGACACACGUGAGAGAAUCCACUCACGACCGCAACUAUUCUUGGUUACCUGCAAGUUACUCAAUUGUGAGGGCAACAUUUCCAAGCAGAAGGGGUGAGAUUUCACAUUCAAUAAUAAUAAGCAUAUAAUUCAUCAAAUUCAUUUAACAACUUAAACUUCAUCAAUUAGUAACACUAACUCUUCGCAUAAAUACUUCAUUAAUUAAUAACAUUAACUCUUCCUAUAAGACUUCAUUAAUAACUCAAUCAACUUCUAAUCAUCAUUAACUUCAUAUUCAUCACAUUAUAUACAACGUCAUACAGCACGUAAUAAUCAAAUCAUAAACAUCAUCAUAUAAAAACCUAAUCAUCACAUCAUAAACAUCAUCUUAUAACAUCAUAUAGUUCACAUCAUAAACAUCAUCAUAUAACAACAUAAACAUCACAACAUAAACAUGAAAUAAGGUUAUAAGGUUGCACUCAAAAAGUUUUAGUGAUAGUCAACUAUGAGAAUAGGUCUAAUUACUGUUGAGAUACAUUCAUGUAAUCUUAUAGGAAACAUGAAAUACCAAAGAACAUCUUGUCCUUAGAAAUGAAUAGAGAAAUAGAUAUGGAAUGUUUAGGAUUUAACUUUAUGAUGAAAACCGCAAUCUCAUGACGCAUUUUUAUAUCUAAAUUUUAAUCAAAAAAAAUAAUUGCACUUAAUCAAUUUAUUUUUUUCAGCUAAUCAAAACUAAAAAUUAGAUUAGUAUUUACUUAAAGUCCAUGUGAAUCGAUAUUUUACUAGAACCGUACACUUGCGUAAACCUAUCAAAGACCCUAUUGAUGUAUAUGGAAUCGUAGUUACCUAUCAAAGCUACAAAAAAAAUUAGAUCGGAAUUGGGGUCUUUCUGACCAUUCUUGAAGUCGAAGGGGGUUCGUUUACUGGAUGUAGCAUCGAAGGCUUGAGUGAAGAGUUCGAAGGGGUGCACGGGUAUUCAAGGAUCUGAAGAUUCAAGAAGCACCAAAUUUAAGGGUUACUUGGAGUUUGGGGGAGUGUUUUACAUAGGAGUUGAAGAAUUAGGUUUUAAUUUCAAGGAACUUUUGUAAACACAUUUGUAUUCAACUAUUAUAAAAAUAUCGGUGUUAUCUCUCUUUCCCUAUCCUCUUUACUUUUAGCUAUUGCAUGUGAUUAAUUGAAUAAUUUUUAGAAUAAUUGCUAGUGUUGAUCUAAGUUAUUUUUCAUUGAAAAUCAAUCUAAUUCAUUGAAUUAGGUUUCAUAUAAUUUGCUUAGAUCAAUUGAUUGAAAAAUCUAUUCAAUUCUUCAAUUACACAUGUAUUGUGUUUUUGAUUUGAUAACUUAGUAAUUUUGUUCAUGUAGGUUUGGUUUGAAAUUGUCUAUUGUUUUGUACAUUGUUCAAGGAAUAUUAAAGUUUGAUUGUAUAAUAAGAUUUGUAUCGUGAAUCUCUCAAUUCUAAGAUUAAGUCUCAUUGCACAUAUAUUUGACCUUUUGAUUCCUUGAUUGUCAUUGUUCGACCACGAAUCCAAUAGUCAAUUUUGUUGAGAGAGAGAGAGAGAGAGAGAGAUUGGAUGGACGGGUGAUAUUAGUGCAGAACACAGCAAAAGAGAAUCGAAAAAAGAGGAUCUUGAUCCUUUUCUAAAGGAGAAUCAACCAUCUAUAUAAUGACAAUUUUAAACCCAUCAAGUACAAAAAUAACGAGCAAGGUGAAAAUAUAAACGUAACAUUGAACUAUUUUAUUAAAUGAUAAUAAACUUCAAAGGGUAAAAUUGGUUUUUAGAUAAACAUAUAAGGGGUUACUAAAAAGGGUUACAAGUUUUUUUUUUUUUUUGAAAGAAGGGAUACAAAUUAUAAGCUUGCGAAGAAAAGACGGUUAUCAAACACAGCCUAUGCAGCUCAUGAAGCUGCCAUAAAAAUUUUAAUAGUGGGGGAUGUUUAAUGAAGAUUAGUAGUAGUGUUACGUUAUUCAUGGAGCUAUAGUUAUAAAUAAUUUUAAAGUGGGUAAUGUUUAUUGAAGAUAGGGAGAUCGAAGCGGAAAUGCUGAAAAAUGAUGAUGGAAAAAUAUAAAUCGAUAUUAUCUUUUAUUUUAGUCAGAAUUUAAAUUUGGUAUUUUUCAGUAUCCAUGUCGGCGAUUUUGACUAAUUUUGAUUAAGUAAACGUCUUAGUUGACUUCAAUGACUAAAGUAACUAAGAACAAAGAGUGAAUGAUUUAAUUCGGGUUUUAUCUAAGUCAUUGACCAAAAUUACAUCUUGUUACACUUUUAAGGAGAAAAAUGGUUGUUUUCCCAAUAAUGUUUUCCAAUAUUAAAUUAAUGUUGUUUUCUGCCUUAGGGAUGUUACCAAUUUGUUAUGUUGGAGUUACCUUUAGUGCUAAGAAACCUUUAGACCAAUAAAAAUAUUUUGAGUCCCUUUUAAAGUGGUAAAUACACUAAUAUAAAGUCAUUGUCAAUUGAUGUUAGGACUAUUUAUUAAGAAUGCAAUAUUUACUUGUUGUUCUUUGGUAGACACUUAGAGUUCAUUUUUGUGGACUGUAUGAACUUGGUUAUAUCAUAGUUAACGUCGUAUUAGACAAACGGAAAUGAAAGACUCAUCUCUCACUCUACUUAGGACUAGCCAAUUGUCAAACUUGGUUACAAUUUAUUUUGUUUGGAAAACUUAAUUUGAAUUUUCUACAUGUCAUGAAAAAUUCAAAUUUCUGUUUUCUGAUUAGAAGAUCAAUAAACGGUUCAAUAUCAUCACAAUCUCCAAAUCAUAACUUCAUUCAUUUGCAAAUCUAGAGCACAUAUAUCACGAUUUUCUAUCAUGAUUUGCAUUGAUAUAAGUAAGUAUAACACAUAUAUUUUACUCUUAACUUAGCCAUACAUUGCGGAUUUACUUAGUAGAUAGAGUAAUGUUUUUUUUUAAACAACAAAUUUUAUUCAUAAGCUAACCCAACACAAGAAGUGAAGAGGCUAGAGGAAACACACAAGACAACAGAUACAUAAAGACAACUAAACCACCCAAACAAUCCUUAAUACAAUAGAAUAACAUCAGAAAAACCAGCCACCUAAACUUCCUAGUACCAUGAAACAAUGUCAGGUCGCGUUGAUUUUUAGGCUGGAGGGCAAUGUUUGUUUCGGAAGUUCUCGACUUUCUUCAACAAAGGGUAGUGCUUUUUGCAGAAAUCGGGUAUAUGGGGUAUAUGUACUGGUUUAUCUUUUGGGAUUAAAUUUUUGAUUUUUGGGAUUAAUGCUUCAACUGCGGGACCAAAGCUAACAGCAUCAGCAAAAUGUUGUUGAGGAGCAAGCAUAAAAGCAGCAAGGAAUAACACUAAUAAGGAUAAGAAAAAUGAAUUAGCCAUUUUAAGAAGUGAUAUAAUUAUUAGUGUUGGUGCAUAAUACAUAUGGAGUAUACUGGUUUUAUACUAGUUAGAGACUCAAUGUGAGUUUAUGGUCAAUCUAAGUCAUGUACUAAAUGUCAAAAUUGUGUAUGAAUUGAAUUAUUCAACAAUGUUACAUGUUCCUUCCAUGUAUUUGCUACUAGUUGAUGAUCAGUCCCUACCUAUCCUUUAAUUUUCCACACAACAAGACCAUUCAGUAAUAUUGGCUCUAUCUCUCCACUUGUUUGCCCACCAUGGUUUAGCUGAAAAAACAGUGCAACUUGUUUCAAUAACAUUAAUAUAUAUAGAUAUUACUAUUUAUAUAUGCAUUGAACCCUGUAUGAUUUAUUUAUUUAUAAAAAUUCCAAAUAGGUUACUUUAUUUGUCAUUUAUGCUUGAAUAUGAAAAUACAAAACAGUGUUUUUUCUCAUUAAAAUUUUUACUAUAAAGAUUUUUAAUAACUUAGUGUUUACCAAUUGCACUUACUAAUUCUUAAUUAUAGAAUGAUGAUUAAAAAUUGUAUGUUUCAUAACUGUUUUUCAUCACAAGUUUAUAGUUCACUUCUCAGACGUUAUUCCAAAUAACGUUUGAGAUUAUAGGUUAUCAUUUUAAUUUCAUGUUUACCUUUAUUAUUUUGUUUAAGAUUUAUUUUUAUCCUUUUUAAUAUAUACUAUUUAUAAAGAAAAUAUAGGGAUUUUGGGCUGACUUUUUUGUUAUUCCAAUUAUACCUUUAAAUAAAAAAAAAUCAAAUAAUGUGAUAUGGUUGGUGUUAAUAAAAAGAUAAGAAUUUUUGUUAUAUUAUUGUUGUCAUUGAGAAUCAUAAAUAUUGUUUGUUGAGUUUGUUACAUUUGAAAGUCACAUAUCAUACUUUUAAUUUUUGUCUAUAUCAAAAAAUUUAUAUAAAAUAUCGUUUGUAAUUUACACGCAGAAUUUCAAUAAAUUAUCGUAAAUAAUUUAUACACAUUAACGUAAUAAAAAGAGCAGAAAGAUGAACAUGUGAAUGCUCGUCUUUUCGCUAGUUUAUUAUAAAGAAUAUGCUAAAUGUUUGGUUCUUUUGUCAUACUACACAAAUUAUUUGGUAGCUUUAUAUAUAUGUUACUAAUGUUAAUUUCACUCUCACUUUAAUUAUGUUACUCCAGAGUCCCUCUGAAAUAAUGUUUCUCUUUUUGCCCUAAAACUUCUCUCUUGCCAUCCAAAAUUUAAAACUCCCAUAUUAUAUGAUUCAUGAAGAUUUUUUGCUUCAAAACAUUGAUCAGGUCUUUUCAAACACGGACAACAAGGUAGGGUAUCAUUCCUUCCCUUUAGUGUUAUUUGAAUCUUUUUUUUUUUUCUUCUGUAAACUAAAACCUUAUAGAUUAUAUAAUAAUCUGAAUCAAGUUGUUCCUGGUUUGGAUUAUAUAAUUUGACAUGCUUCUAUAUAUAUGUUGUUUUGUUAUUUUGUGGAUAUUUUUUUAUUUUUUUUAGACAAAAGAGGAAUUAAAUUAAAAUAGAAAAGGAGGUAUAAGAUUGGGGGCAAUGACCUGACCAGUAAACCACAAAAUCAAAAUACAACAAUUUCAGUACAAAGUGGUAUACAACGAACACAACCCUAAACAAUCACUACUACGGACAAUUCAGCGAACCCACGUAUGAGCGCCAAACCGAAUUGCAAAAAAAACGUAGAGUGAGUAUUCAGAACUUCUAAAUAGGCGUAUGGAUCGACUGCCAACACAAAAACGAUCCAAGAUCAAGCAGCUCCCAUCAAAUAUCAGCAAGCAAUAAACGCCCUUUCGGGCCAACCAUUCCAGUCGUAGUUCAGUUCGAGGGAUGAACAAACGACAUAAAUGUAAAGCAGUCCACUGACAACGCAUAAAGCAACCGUAGCAGAUAAAGUCCUGCAGGUACGACAUCAACAACUAUCGUCAACCAGAGCGUCUACGCACUUAGCCCUUUCGUGCAUAUCAGGCGAAACAAGUCUUGUUGAAUCCAGAUCGAGGGAUGGUAUCCAACCAAACAUCGCACAAAUGAACAGAACCAUAACCAAAUCUUAAAUCCAGACAAACCAAAUUCAAAAUUUCAACUAAACCGGAUAGCCAGAAUAAGACCACCACCAAUCUUCAUCUUCCCGAAACAACAUAAAACACCAUUCGAUUCUUCAUGGUCUUCUUCUUUCAAACUAGUGCGUCUUCCUGGAACCGCCAUUGAUGUGAAAUUCGACUAUCUUUGCCGCCGCUUCAACUUCAAACUACUAUGCCAUUGACGCUUUUAAUUUAGUGGGAGAAAAAAGAAAAAGAUCGAAAUGAAAGUAGAAGAAGAAGGUUUGGUGUGUGUUUUUGAAGAAGAAGACGAAGAAAAAAAAAAGUUUGUGUUGUUACGUGUGAGAGGGUGUGGUGGUAAGCUUGUAUAUGAGAGAGAAAUAUAUGUCUAGAGUUUUGAUGUCUAAAGAAGACCACAAUUAAUGUGACAUUGGAAAAUGAAAGGGUGGAUGCAUGGGUACCAAAAUCUCAUAAUUAUUUGUUGGAAGAUGCAUAAGGAAGAGAGAGUUAUCCCCAAUAAAUGAGAGUGGGGAAUAGUUGAAAGAAGUGGCUUUUACAAAGUAGAAUGCUGAUUAGAAUUAACAAUUAAGUGUAGAUGAUCAACGGUUGAUGUUGAAUGGCGCCUAAAUGAUGAUCAGCAUCCAAUGGCUUGCAAAAUUGGAGAGAAAAAUGAGGGGGGAAAAUUAGGGUUAAGGAUAGCUUCGGGGGAUAAGCUUUAGUAAGUAAGAUUGUCUUAUAUACUUACAUUAUUUUAGGUCUAAAUUUCAGAAACCAUUAUUUGACAAUUUUUUUGACAAUUUUAUCUCACAUACUCACAUUAUAUUUUUACUUCUCUUUUUGUUGUUUUGGUUUUUAUUUUCAUACCUAAUUUUCCUUGUAAAUCUAUAGUUGUCUCAUAAAUUAUCGUUAAAAUUGUUGUUCAAAUAACACAACUCUUAUUUCUAAUACUCAAAAUUUGUUCAAAUUAAGUUUUUAAAGAACUUCUAAUAAAGUCAGAUUAAAGUUUUUUUGAACUUUUUAAAUACUUAAAUUGAAUUUUCUCCAAUAUACAUAUUAGAGAAAGAAAAAAAAUAAUGAUAGGAGGGAGAUGCAAAACUUAUGUUUUCUUUCUCUAGAAACAUAUUUUGAGUUUUCAAUAUCAUCAAAAUCUCAAAAUCAUAAACUUUAUUUAUUUGCAAAUCUAGAGCACAUAUAGCGCGAUUUUCUCUCAUAAUUUACAUUGAUAUAACACAUAUUAUGUUCUUACCUUGCCCAAACAUUCGGGAUUUAAUUGAUGAUGUAAAAGACGUUUUUAAAUGUAGAAUAAGAAAGAUGGAAAACCUCCAAGCCAAAUUAUACACAAGAUAUACAAAUUAUACACAAAAAUUUCAAAUUUCAAUUUUCUCGAGAGUAUUCUUAAAUGAUCAAUCAAUGAUUCAAUAUAAUCACAAUCUCAAAAUCAUAAACUUUAUUUAUUUUCAAAUCUAGAGCACAUAUAGCGGGAGGAGAUUGUCUCGUGUGAUUUUUCUCUCAUGUGUAAUCCAGACCCUCCAUUAAAUAUGUGAGAUAAUGUGUUUGUAAUAUAAAAUGACCGAACGCAAGAUAAAUUGUUUUUUUCUAAACAAUAAAUUUUAUUCAUAAGCAUUCCCGUGAGCUUAGCUCAGUUGGUACGGAUAUUGCAUUUUAUAUGCAGGGGCUGAGGUUCGAACCCCAGACACCCCACUUCUCCACAAUUAAAUUGUGUGAGCUCUAACCACUAGACUACUUGACCAAGAAAAAAAGAAAUAUUCAUAAACUAACCCAACACAACACAAGAAGUGAAGAGGCUAUAGAGGAAAGACACAGGGUAACAAUACAUAAAGACAACUAAACCAAGGCUAAAAAGCCACAACACAUGUAAAUGGCUUAUCACAGCAGAAAACAAGGUAUAUCAAUAUCAUGUGUGACUACAAAACCGCCCAAACAACCCUUAAUACAAUAGAAUCACAGCAGAAAACACCCUUAGUAGAUAUUGAUAUGCCUUGCCGCGUUGAUGUUUUAGAAAUGUGCAGGUGGAGGGCAAUUACUGGGUCGGUUAUGCCCGUUUUUCCUCGAGCAGGGAUUUAAUGAGGGCUUUUGGGAUGGUUUAGGACGAGGGAAAGGUACUGGUUUGGAUGGAGUGAAAUGGGGUAAAUGCUUUAUGAUUCCUGGAGGGAGAUGUAUGGCAUCAACAGCAAAAUGUUGAGGAACAAACAUAAGAGCAGCAAGGAAUAACACUAAUAAGGAUAAGAAAAAGGAUUUAGCCAUUUUAAGAAGUGAUAUAAUUAUUAGUGUUGGUGCAUAAUACAUAGGGAGUUAAACUGGUUUUAUACUAGUUAGAGACUCAAUGUGAGUCUAUCGUCAAUCAAAGUUAAAAUUGUGCACGAAUUGAAUUAUUCAACAAUGUUACAAGUUCCAUGUAUUUGAUACUAGCUGAUGAUCAUUUAGUAUUAUUGGCUCUAUCUCUCCACUUGUUUGCGCACAUGGUUUACCUGAAAAAACAGUGUACUGGAGGUGCAACUUGUUUUAAUAGCAUUUUUUGUUGAGCACAUCAUGAGACAACACCGACAUCCUAACUAGAUUAGUAUUUCAGGACGCCUCCGUCCUAUGCCUGCCAAUCUCUAAAUUUUAUUAAAAAAGGGUAAAAAUAUAUACAAGGAGAGUGAGGACUAGGCCAAAAUCCUCAAUGAAAAAACCAAAGGAAACAAUAAAAAAUAAAGCCUACUGAAAUCUAUAAUUGGGUGAGCCAAUUCUGUCUCUAUAGAAGUCGAAAUGCAACUCUGCACGAAGCGUGUCUAACCAAACAGAACCCUGAAUAUCAUGACCCUCGGACAUUCCAAUAUAACAUCAUUGGGAAGAUGGAGGAAGACCACUCUUUCCAAGGAUUUGAUAAUGCGGCUUUCCGAAGACUUACUUCUUCAUAUUUAACGCGGCUUUUUUGAGAGAACUUGCGUAAAUCCUUUCUUUACGGCCCGUUGAUCGUAUUCUUUGAUUCUGGCCCAUAAAUCCAAGUCAUUCUGUACGUUUUUGCUAGUGUUUUAAUAACAUUAAUAUAUAGAUAUUACUAUUUAUAUAUGCAUUGAACCUGUAUGAUUUAUUUAUAAAAAUUCCAAAUAAAUUACUUUAUUUGUCAUUUAUGCUUGAACAUAAAAAUACAAAACAUUGUUUUUUCUCAUUAAAAAAUUUAAUUAAUUUAUAAAGCUUUUUAAUAAAUUAGUGUUUACCAAAUUGCACUCAUUAAUUCUUAAUUAUUGAAUGAUUGUAAACUCAUUUUAGAACCUCCAAAAAUGAAGAAAGCUCAUUCUUAGGACAACACAAAAUGGAAAACACUCAAGAUUGUUGGCAUAUUGGUAGACUAUUUCUAUCUGACAAAUUCAAUAAGCUAGUUUAUAGUUUAUAAGUCCGAAUGAUUAAAAAAUGUAUGUUUCAUAACCGUUUUUUCAUCACAAGUUUUAUAGUUUAUUUUAUUAGUUUGUAGCUUAUUUUUUAGACGUUAUUUUAAAUAACGUUUGAGAUUAUAGUUUAUCAUUUUUAUUUGUGUUUACCUUUAUUAUUCUGUUUAAGAUUUAUUUUUAUCCUUCAUAAUCUAUACUACUACCGUUUAUUCUGUUUGACAUUAUAGUUUAUUUUUAUUUGUAGUAUAUAUAAAGAAAAUAGGGGGAUGUUAGGCUAGCUUUUUUGUUACUCUAAUUAUACCCUAAAAUAAAUAAAAAGUCAAAUAAUAUUAUAUUGUUGGUGUUAUUAAAAAGAUAAGAAUUUUUGUUAUAUUAUUGUUGUCAUUGAGAAAGAUAAAUAUGGUUUAUUGAGUUUGUUACAUUUGAAAGUCACAUAUAUUUAUACUUGUAAUUUUAAUCUAUAUCAAAGAGUUUUUAUAAAAUAUAGGUUGUAAUUUACACGCAGAAUUUCUAUAAAUUAUCGUAGAUAAUCUAUACACGUUAACGUAGUAAAAAGAGAAGAAAGAUGCGCACGUGAGUGCCCGUCUUUUCACUAGUUUAUUAUAAAGAAAAUGUUAAAAUGUUCAAUUAUUUUGGUCAUACUGCACGAAUUAUUUGGUAGCCUGGCAUAUAUGUUACUAAUGUUAAUUUCACUCUCACUUUAAUUAUGUUACUCCACAGUCCUCUAAAAUCGUGUUUCUCUUUUUGCCCUAAAACUUCUCUUUUAUGUUACUCCACAAUCCUCUAAAAUCGUGUUUCUCUUUUUGCCCUAAAACUUCUCUUUUUGAUUAUUCAAUCCGAAUCAAGUUGAUCUGGUUUGGAUUAUAUAAUUUGAACUGCUUUUAUAUAUGUUGUUUCUUUAUUUUGUGGAUAUUUGUUAAUUGUUUGUACAUCUGAUUUUAACACUUUCAAAUAUUGACCGCAUGGGCUGUGUUAGGAACGAUAGAAUUUCCUUGACUGCAUCUUCUAGGUGAGAGCGUAUGUAGAAGAAUGUAGUGGAAAGGAGAGUGGUCAAGGGCAUGGGCAUGGGCCGCAAUGCUGAGACGCAGAGAGGUCGUCAGUUCCUAGACAUUAGUGGACAGUUACGGCGCAUCGAGGAACAUGUCAGAAGUAUUUAACUUUUUUAGUGAAGAUUUUUUUAAUUUAGAAUUUUUAAAGAGUGUCUCGAAAACACUCAUUAGCAAGACUGAUAAGUUGUAGUUUAUGGUGUUUUUAUCAUUUAAAUUCAAUAAUAUGUACGUUGUUUUAGUUUUAAUUUAGAUUCAUUUUACUGGAAAACAUUAGUUUUUAUUUUCAUAAUCAAAAUUAUGAAGAACAUUAUACCUAGAUUAAGAGCGAGGAAAAAGAGCCAUGAAAGAGCCAUAAAGCAGCAGCACGGAUGGUCCGUGGUUCCAUCUAGGUCGUGGAGUUCUUAAAAUGUCAAAAUUUCAAAAGUUGAAGUACAAGCACAACCGUGUGCCCCAACACGGUAGAAACAAGCAUGAUUGUGCACUUCAGAAGCACGACUUUUGCACCCCUCAAAACACAACAAAAUGUCAAAAGUUGGAAAGGUGAGCAUGACCGUGCACCCUUGAAGCACGACCGUGAGUCUUGUGCAGAGAAAAAUAGUUGUUACAACCUCUUAAAGUUCUUUGGUUCAUGGCUUGUAACUUGUUUUUAAUAUAUUUGUCUGAGGCUCUAGGCUAUAAAUAUACCUCACUUCUAAGGAAAAAAGAAUCUUAGAUACUUGUAAACUUACUCUAAAGUUGAAAGCAUAAUUUUGCAAUGUUUUAAGUUCUUUGUUCUUUAUUUUUCAUUUCUUUACAUUUGUAUUCUUUACUUUUCUGUUCUUUACAUUUUCAGUAUUUUAUCUUCAUGUCUUUAUAUUUUAAUCACAUGUCUAUUAUGAUCAUAUGUUAGUAAACAAACUAUUCUAGUCUUGGAAUUGUUAGAAUAAUCAAUCUAAUGAUUGAAUGUUAAUCAACCCAAGUCUAGACUCUAUUUUAUAAGAAUCCAUUUUAUAAUCUAAUAUCAUCGUUACUAAAUUUUAUUUUAUAAUCUAAUAUCAUUGUUAUGAAAUUUUAUAACAAGUAUCAAACAAAGAACUGAGAGUUGAUGUUUGAUAUUGUUAUUUAAUCAUGUCUAAGAUAUCAAACGAAGGACCGAGAGGUGAAAUUUGAUAUUGGAAUAAAUGAGAUUGUAAGAGAUAAGCAAAAUAUGAAAAUAAUUUUAUGACUCUUAGGACAAUAAGGUUAUAAGGUUGCACUCGAAAAGUUUCAAUGAUAAUCAACUAUGAGAAUAGGUUUAAUUACUGUUGAGAUACAUACAUUCAUGUAAUCUGAUAGGAAACUGAUAGAAUAUGUGUUACUUAGUCAUGUAAUUUGUAUUAUUAAAAGAAUAUUAAUACGUAUUCAUUGUGUUAAUUAGUCAUUCAUUUUGUAUUCAUUAGUCAUUAAGAGAAUGAUAACAAUUUGAUGUAUAUAAUGCACUCAGAUUAUCAAUGAAAAUCAUUCAGCUAUUUUCCUAUAUGGUAUCAGCUAGGUUUUAGAUCCUCUCCUACUUCUUCUAGCCGCCCACCACCACCUUUUCUUCCCUAUACUUCCGUUAUAAACCGCCAUCCAUGGCUACCUCAACAACAGCUGAAUCAACCACUCUCUCAACAAAUUCCUCUCCCGUGACAGACACAUUUGUCUCAACGGCACCAUCAUCAAAAAUUCACUCGGCCUUCACUAUCAACAACGUGAAGUCUAUCAUUCCCGUAACCUUGCACAAUGGCAGAAUGCUUUUCAUUGAUAAUCUGAGUGCAUUAUAUACAUCAAUUUGUUAUCAUUCUCUUAAUGACUAAUGAAUACAAAAUGAAUGACUAAUUAAUAUAAAUGAAUACCUAUUAAUAUUCUUUUAAUAAUACAAAUUACAUGACUAAGUAACACAUAUUCUAUCACUCCCACGCAGUUGAUGCGGGAGGUUGUCGGACGCUGAGUCUGUCCCUAAAAUCUUGAAAUAAAACCAAUGGGAGACCCUUAGUGAAGAUAUCUACAAUUUGAUAGCGUGAUGGAACAUGUAGGACACGGAUGUCUCCACGAGCUACUUUUUCACAAACAAAAUGAAUGUCCAUUUCGAUAUGUUUUGUGCGUUGGUGCUGGACGGGAUUUCGGAUAGAUAUAUGGCACUAACAUCCUUAUUAUCUAAUCCUAAACUACAAUGCACACAACAAUUGCAAAACCCUAAUCCUUGGUUUUGAGCGGGAAAAUUGUGAUUUAACCACAUUUAAUGGCAUUUUUGAAUUUCAAAUCAUGUACCCUUUUGAAAUGUGUGCAUAUGUGCCUAAUUAAUGCAGAUUUUGAAAUUCAAAUAUCCCACCACUUGGAAUUGUGCUCGCUUCUUUCCAAGACAUGCAGUUACCCACUUCUCAAUGCAAAAGCAUCUGAACCAAACAAACCUAUUUCCUUGCAUUUUGCUCUUUCUCCCUCUCUCUCACUCCCCUCUCACGCCCAUUUUUCUCUAAUCAGAAAAGGUCAACGAUUUUCAGUCCCUCUUCUCUUCUCUCUCACUCCAGUUUUCUCUCAAAAAAAAGCCUCUUCUCUUCUCCCACGUUAUUUUUUUCUUCAUUUUCUAACAUUCUUCUUCAAUUCUCCAUCUCUCUCUCUCAUUGUUUCUCGCGUAGCUCUUCGUGUCUUAGUUUGGGUGUUCUCUUCAUCGCCGGUCAGCCUCACCAAGGCAAUAAGCAUCUUCAAGUUUUAUUGAAAGAGAAUGCUUCUAUGCAACAAAAUUUUCAAGACCUUCGAUCCCUCGGUAUGCGUUUUCAGUUUCGUUACGUUUUGAUUGAUUUUGAUUUCGCGAUUAGGAUUUUGGUAUCACCGGUGUUGUUUUGAUUGAUUUUUCCGAUUUGAUAGGAAAGGAGCUUGAAGAAGGUGGAGUUCUCAGUGAAUCGGCACUGUCGCGGAAGGUUUUUCUUUUCAUCAACGAUCUUCUCUCUCAUUCUCUCUCAUUCGCUGCUCUUCUACUAAGCUUUGAUUGUGGAACGUAUGAAGGCAGAGUGACAUCUGAUAACGAUCAGAAUCAAGGCUACUAAGCUUAGAUUAUGGCUUCUAGGGGCAGAGGAAAAUGAGGAAGAAAAAGCACCAUCAAUUACAAUCUGCUCUACAUGUAUAAUGUUUUCCGUAUUCGAAUUAUUUCAAAUUGCAAGUAAUUUAAAUUGAGUUUUAAGGUAGUUUUCUUUGACUGCAAGUAUAAGGGGCUUAUUUCACAAGGUUAUACUUAGAUGUGUAUAUUCACUAUUGAAGCUUAUUUUGAGUUUCCGUGAUGACUUACUUUAUCGAAAUCACGGUGUGCCGCCGCGAUUUAGAAAAAGUUAUAGGGUGCAGCUUUUACAAUAACUAAAAAUUAACUAAUGAUUUGCCUGAAGUUUCUAAUUCUUUUUAUUGGUCCGAUUACAGUCCCUCUCUGAUGAUUUUCUACAACUAUCAGAUUUGAUUGAAUCAACUAAGGUUAAUUAUUUUGUCCAUAAUUUUUGCAAGAUAACUCUUCAGUCUACUGUUUUAGGUCAAAAUUAAUUUAUUUUGUGUAUAGAACAAUAGUUAUGCAGACCACCCAUUUCAAUAGGAUAAUGUCAAAAUUAAUUUAUGCAGACCAUCCAUUUCAAUAAUCAAUAAUGUUUUUUUGGGUUUGUUUGUAUAAUAGCAGGUUUUUUAAGAUUUGUUUUGUGUAUAAUGUGUCAUUUCACUCCACGUAGCCAAUCUUAGUGUUUGUUCAUGAAUAGAAAGUGGCUCAUAAAACAAUUUAAGGGUUCGAUUGUUCUAUAUUAUCUUUGCUCAUCUCUCUUAGUGUUUGAAAUUAGUUCAAAGAGUGGUCUAAAAAUUCUGCUAACAUAUGAGGAUGACGCUUGCAUUGAUAGUUUUUUUUUUUAAAAAAAAAAAAAAAAUCGCAUUGUAUACACAUAAAUUCCUUGAAAUAUAAUUGUAUACACAACGUACACUACAUACGAGGUCAACUUUACGUCGCAAUAUCCAAGGUGACCUCCAGGAAUGGGUUGAAGAUUUUAAUGAAUGAUGAUAAUAGUAAUAGCAUGAAUAGCACUUCAAAUGUAGUUAUAAGGAGAUUUUCUGCAAUCUACCGAUUUAAGGUCUUUUUUAAUGUAUUUUUUUUAGAAACAAUUUAUUUUGUACCGCAAGCAUAUUUAAUUUCAAUACAUUUUGUAAUAGCAUAUUUUAUUUUGUACAGCACGGGUGGAUGGUCUAGUUAUCACAAUAAACUAAACUAGCCUUGUGAAUGGGGAAAUGUAAUUCCAAAAGCAAGUUUCAUAACCAACAAGAUUCAGAAACCGCAUUGGAACCCCUCGAUAUUCUGCUUCAGCACUUGAACGAGAUAAAGUAGGUUGUCGUUUGGAAGACCAUGAGAGUAAGUUGUCACCAAGAGAUACACAGCAACCAGAGGUGGAUCGUCAGGUAUCUAGGCAACUUCCCCAAUCUGCAUUGUGUAAACAAUCAAUGAUGAUGUAGAAGAAGAGUAAAGUUGCAGUCCAUACUCGCGUGUGCCCUGAAUAUAUCUCAGGAUGCGUCAAAGGGUGUGCAUGUGAUCAUCCAUUGGAUUGUGCAUAAAUAAACAUAUUUGUUGCACUGCAUAAGAAAUGCCAGGCCUUGUGAAGGUGAGGUAUUGUAGGGCGCCAGCAAGGCUGCGAUAUAGAGAAAGGUCUUCAAAUGGGGUGCUAGUUUUGGCUCUCAUCUUUGGUUUAGUAUCAACCGUUGUAGGACAUGGUUUACAAGAAGCCAUUCCAGCACGAUCAAUAAUUUCUUCUGCAUAUUUUUUCUGAGACAAAAAUAAGCCACCAGGAUGACGUGUGACAGCAAUACCCAAAAAAUAAUUCAACAAUCCCAAAUCUUUCAUAGCAAACUCGGAACUAAGGAGUGAUAUGAUAGACUUUCAAAGGUCGUCAGAGGAAGAGGAAGCAGUAAGAAUGAUAUCAUCUACAUACAGUAUGAGGUAGGCCAAAAGGUGGGUUUUUCCUAUAUGGUAUCAGAAAAACUCUGCUUCCCGGAACUCUGGCAGAGGUGGUCGAAAUGGUACUGGUAAUUAUUGAUCUAUAACAAUAACCAUAUACGAAGACUACCUCAAAAAAAAAAAAAAAAAAAACGUACGAAGGAGAAUCAACCAUCUGGAUAAUACAUAUCCUUAUUUUAUUUAUUUGAAUUUGAAUGGCAACCACCAAAGCCACAUAUAGAAAGAAUAUUUUCCUACCAAUCGUACAUGAUGCCCAUAACAAAAGAUAGGUUCCAUAAUAUGGCCCCAUAAUAUCCUUAUCCUUAUAAUUAUGGUUCAGAAAAUAAAAAACCUCGUUAAGUUUUAGGAUUAUUUUAAGUUGAUAAAUAUUAACGAGUAUCUUCAGAGCAUUUUUCAAACAUCUAAAGUGGUAAGAUUUUAUGAAAGUUGAGCAUUUAUUAUAUUGGAAAUUGAAGUCUUUACAUUUCUUUUAAAAAUAAUUUUUUCAUUAUAAAUGCUUAAAAGGUGCUCCAUGGACAUUCAUUAACAGGACUCUUUUAAAUUUUAGAAUGUUAGCAUUUCCCUAAAACACAUGUUAAAGAUAGAGAUAUAUUAUGGCCUCUCACGGUAGCACCCGCCUACGUAGCGAGUUUAUGGUCAAUCUAAGUCAUUUACUAAAUGUCAAAAUUAUGUAUGAAUUGAAUUAUUCAACAAUGUUACAAGCUCCAUGUAUUUGCUACUAGUUGAUGAUCACUAACUAUCCUUUCAUUUUCCAUACAACUAGACCAUUUUUUUUUAGUAUUAUUUGCUCUAUCUCUCCACUUGUUUCCACAAAUAUGAUUAAUUUUUUUCGAAAAUUUUGUUUUUUUAAAUAUGAUAUUAUGGAAAACAAAAUUCGAAAAUUUGAAUAUAUAUUAAUCUUUUCCACAAUUUUUUUAAAUAUUUCCCGAUUAUUUUUAUAAUUUUUCCAGAUUUUUUUCAUUAUUUUUUAUUUUACCAGAUUUUUUUAAUCAUUAUUAAUUUUUACAUUUUUUUUUUAAAUUUUUCAGUAUUUUUUUUAAUCAUUAUUCGUUUUUUAAAUUUUUUUAUUUUUAUUUUAAAAAAAUCACAAAUGCCACGUGGCGUUCAUUUACACGCGUGGCAUGAAAAAAAUUAAACAAAAAAAAAUUGACACGUCACUGCCACGUAGUAGAUUCUGCCGACACAUUGAGGUGAGGGGUCAAUCCUGAAGAAUCUUCAUUUUUCAAGGGUGGAAUCUAAAAAAAAAAAAUUACAGGGGCUAAAACCAAAAGUGCAUUAUAUUACAAAGGCCAAAAACACUAUUAACACUAUAUUAUUACUUCUUCUUUUUUAUAAAAAUCCAAAUAAAAAUCAUUUGCAUUGCAGCCAAUUGGCCAAAUGCAACAUGACAAGCGCAAAAUUGCUCCAUGUUGACUUGUGAGAACUCUUGUUCUAGAUAGAGAACCUUAUAGUUUUUGUUGUCACAGAAAAUGUUAAACAACUUUUUCCAUGCAAUUUAUGCGUCUGAAUCGCGCUUGAUGAUGGUGAUGAGAAUAUAUUCUGAGGUGGUGUCAUAUAUCCAUUAUAAUACGACAACAUCAAAAAGCGGCCAAAGAUUGGGAUUGAUUUCUUUGAGAGAGGGAGUUGUUGGCUUAUUAGUGGGUGAGGGAGGAAUGAUGUGAUGAAAGACUUGAUGAACCCUUGCAUGAAUUUUAAAGAGUUCGAACCACGUAUUAUAUUGGACCCUUUUUUAUACUAAACGUAACCUUGAUGAAAUUGGUGAUAAUUGAAAAUGGUGGUAGAGGGAUGGAUAGGUGUGGAAGGAGUUGGGGUUGAAAUUGUCCUUCGAGUGGUAGUAUUUUUGGGGAUGAUUCGGCCCUGAUGGUGAAUGAAGGAGAAGAGGAACGAUGGCGCUGUAUUAGGUUUACGAGAGAAGGAUGAGUACCAACAACUUACUGAUACCAUGUAAGAAUUAUAAUAAGAUAAUUAUUAGUCGUGUGUCAUUUGCAUUGAGAGGAUCCGUUGACACUAGGUGUCAAACUUUAGUUUGACAUCAAAUCUCAACCGUCUAUUAUGUCUAAUCUAAUGGUCUGUGAUUAUUUAUUAAAUUAACUUGUGUGAUCUUUUUCCCAUGUCUCACCUGAUCCCACGCCGGCUGUUCUGCUCCAUCUCCUUCAACUUAUCAAAGUUAAUAUGGCCAACAAUCAAAUACACACACAAAUUAAUUCUUUUUUUUUUUUAAAGAAGAAGAAGCUAAAUUAGCCCACACAAAUUGGCACCGGAGAGAAUCGAUCCUGAGACCUCGAGGAGGAGCACACUCCCAGAUCCCAAGUCAAUACCACCAGACCAACCCAAAUGAUAAAUAAGGAGUUAAUUCUAAAUAAGGAGUUAUACAUAUAAUUACAUAUUGUUGACAUUAAUUGUUCUCUGUGGGGCAAGAUACUUGAGGUGUAAGUUUCAUAAGAUGCAAGUUCUUUUAAGUCUAAAUUGUCUUAUACUUACAUUAUUUUAGGUCUAAAUUUCAGAAACCAUUAUCACAAAUUUUUUGACAAUCUUAUCUCACAUACUCGUACUAUAUUUUUACUUCUCUUUUUGUUGUUUUGGUUUUUGUUUUCAUACCUAAUUUUCCUUGUAAAUCUAUAGUUGUCUCAUAAAUUAUCGUUAAAAUUGUUGUUCAAAUAACACAACUCCUAUUUCUAAUACUCAAAAUUUGUUCAAAUUAAGUUUUUAAAGAACUUCUAAUAAAAUCAGAUUAAGUUUUUUUGAACUUUCUAAAUACUUAAAUUGAAUUUUCUCGAAUAUACAUCUUGGAGAAAGAAAAAAAAUAAUUAUAGGAGGGAGAUGCAAAACUUACGUUUUCUUUCACUAGAAACAUAUUUUGAGUUUUCAAUAUCAUCAAAAUCAUAAACUUUAUUUAUUUGCAAAUCUAGAGCACAUAUAGCACGAUUUUCUCUCAUAAUUUACAUUGAUAUAACACAUAUUAUGUUCUUACCUUGCCCAAACAUUCGGGAUUUAAUUGAUAAUGUAAAAGAUGUUUUCAAAUGUAGAAUAAGAAAGAUGGAAAACCUCCAAGCCAAAUUAUACACAAGAAUAUAAAACAAAGCAUUUACUUGGUAGAUAAUAUUUUCUUUUUAAACAGCAAAUUUUAUUCAUAAUAAGAUAACCUAACACAAGAAGUGAAGAGGCUAUAGGGGAAAGACACAAGGUAACAAUACAUAAAGACAACUAAACCAAUGCUAAAAAUCCACAUCACAAAACCACCCAAACAACCCUUAAUACAAUAUAAUCACAGCAGAAAAACCUUAACCAAAUCAAGCAAACACACCCAGACCUUCCCCUAACACAAAAUCAAACCAGUUUCCAUCAACACCACAUCAAUAGACCCCUUAAAUAAUUGAACAAAAACCAGCCACCUAAACUUCCUGGUACCAGUAAAUUACAAUUACUUAGUAGAUAUUGAUAUGUCUUGUUGCAUUGAUGUUUCAGAAAUGUGUGGCUGGAGGGCAAUCUUUGGGUCGUAACUUCCACAAUAUCUUCGAGCAGCGAUUGAUUUUGGGAGUUUUGAAUUUUGGGAAGGCAGCAUCAACAGCAAAAUGUUGAGGAGCAAGCAUAAAAGCAGCAAGGAAUAACACUAAUAAGGAUAAGAAAAAGGAAUUAGCCAUUUUAAGAAGUGAUAUUAUUAUUGUGUUGGUGCAUAAUACAUAUGGAGUUAACUGGCUUUAUACUAGUUAGAGACUCAAUGUGAGUUUAUGGUCAAUCUAAGUCAUUGUGUAUGAAUUCAAUCAUUCAACACGUAGGUUCCAUGCAUUUGGAAAACUAGUUGAUGAUUAAAAAUGUUCAAUAUAUUAGGCUAUGAAUUGUUUAUGAAUUGAAUUGUUGAUGAUUAAAACAGUGUACUGGAGGUGGAACAUGUUUUAAUAACAUUAAUAUGUAGAUAUUAUUAUUUAUGCAUUGAACCCUGUAUUGAUAAAAAUUCCACAUAGGUUACUUUAUUUGUCAUUUAUGCUUGAAUAUAAAAAUACAAAACAGUGUUUUUUCUUAUUAAAUUUUUUAAUUAAAUUAUAAAGAUUUUUAAUAACUUAGUGUUUACCAAUUGCACUCAUUAAUUCUUAAUUAUAGAAUGAUUAUCGUAAACUCAUUUUAGAUCCUCCAAAAAUGAAGAAAGCUCAUUCUUAGGACAACACAAAAGAGAAGAAACGCAAGAUUGUUGGCAUAUUGGUAGACUAUUUCUGUUUGACAAAUUCAAUAAGCUAGUUUAUAGUUUAUAAGUCCGAAUGAUUAAAAAAUGUAUGUUUCAUAACUGUUUUUUCAUCACUAGUUUUAUAGUUUAUUUUAUUAGUUUGUAGUUUAUUUUUUAGACGUUAUUCGAGAUUAUACUUUAUCAUUUUUAUUUGUGUUUACCUUUAUUAUUUUGAAUAAUUUUUAGGAUAAUUUCUAGUGUUGAUCUAAGUUGUUUUUCAUUGAAAAUCAAUCUAAUUCAUUGAAUUAGGAUUCAUAUAAUUUGCUUAGGUCAAUUGAUUGCAAAAUCAAUUCAAUUCUUCAAUUACACAUGUAUUGUGUUUUUUAUUUGAUAACUUAGUAAUUUUGUUCAGAUAGGUUUGGUUUGAAAUUGUCUAUUGUUUUGUACAUUGUUCAAAGAAUAUUAAAGUUUGAUUGUAUAAUAAGAUUUGUAUCGUGAAUCUCUCAAUUCUAAGAUUAAAUCUCAUUGCACAUAUAUUUGUCUUUUUCAUUCCUUGAUUGUCAUUGUUCGACCACGAAUCCCAUAGUCAAUUUUGUUGAGAGAGAGAGAGAGAGAGAGAGAGAGAGAGAGAUUGGAUGGACGAGUAAUAUUAGUGCAGAACACAUAGCAAAAGAGAAUCGAAAAAAGAGGAUCCCGAUCCUUUUCUAAAGGACAAUCAACCAUCUAUAUAACGACAAAUUUAAACCCAUCAUGUACAAAAAUAACGAUCAAGGUGAAAAUAUAAACGUAACAUUGAACUAUGUUAUUAAAUUAUAAUAAACUUCAAAGGGUAAAAUUGGUUUUUAGAUAAACAUAUAAGCCAAAUAAGGUUACAAGUUGUUUUUUUUUUUUUUUUGAAAGAAGGGUUACAAGUUAUAAGCUUGUGAAGAAAAGACGGUUAUCAAACACAACCUAUACAGCUCAUGAAGCUACCAUAAAAAAUUUAAUAGUGGGGAUGUUUAAUGAAGAUUGGUAGUACUGUAGUAGUGUUACGUUGAUCAUGGAGCUAUAGUUAUAAAUAAUUUUAAAGUGGGUUAUGUUUAUUGAAGAUAGGGAGAUCGAAGCGGAAAUGCUGGAAAAUGAUGAUGGAAAAAUAUAAAUCGGCGAUUUAUAUUUUAGUCCUUGUGAAAGUUAGAAUUUAAGUUUGAAGGGGUGCACGGGUAUUCAAGGAUCCGAAGAUUUUAAGAAGCACCAAAUUUAAGGUUUACUUGGAGUUUGAGGGAGUGUUUUACAUAGGAGUUGAAGAAUUAGGUUUUAAUUUCAAGGAACUCUUGUAAACAGAUUGUAUUCAACAUUUGUUAGACCAAGUACAAUGGCUUGUUGAAAGUGCCAUUCAACAUGUUGAAUCAUUGUAGUGGGGGGUGUUGAAAUUGAAAAAAAAAAAACUUAGUUGGAGGAAAGAGAUGAUGAACAAGUUUAACUAGCUGAAAGCCUGGCCCUCACAGACACGUGGCGCGACCCGAUUGCAUGAAACAGGCGAGUGCGAUGCACGCGACGACAGGGCGCAUGAGAGAUUGGAAGCGCAGAGAGAGAAAGAGAAAUGGAUAAAUGUUGUGACACUUGGCAUGUUUUGAUUGGCUGCUUGGAUUUUUAUCUUCUUAAUAAUUUGGACUCAAUUAUUUCAUUGUAAAUAAUUUUUUUUUACCAAAAUUCGUGAUUUUUUUUUCUCUAUAAAUAGAGACUUGGAUCAUUUGAUUUGGACACAGAAAAAAAAAAUCAAGUUUUUUCACUCUCUUAAUCUUAUUACUAGCUUUUCUUUAAAAGUUUAAGUCUGAAAUUGAUCCCAAUAACAAUCAAUUCAAUACCCAAAGUUCUUCAGAUUACCCAUCUAGCUACCAAAAUCCAAAUUAUUAUCAACACCCAAAUCAAUUUCUCAACCAACAUCCUUAAAACCCAAAUCAAUUCCCCAACCAACAUCCUCAAAACAUGCCUAAUUUUGGUUUUGCCUCAAAUUUCAAUCACUCAUCCUCUGUUCUAAACAACUUUUAUCCAUAUUAUAGAUCUAUGAUGGGAUAUCCAUCUCAAACACCCCAUUUAAUGGUUAUAUGCCAAUGGUGAAUGAAAAUUUUCAGAGUGUUAGUGAAUAUCCUGAAUUUUCAUCACAAAUAAAUAGUGGUGGAAUGACAAGAGCUAAUGAAGUCACUCCAAUUUCAGAGGAUACAACUCCUAAGAGCAAGAAAAACCAGCAACCAGGAACACUGAACAAAAUUUGGUGUUAAUUAGUGGGUGAAUAAAAUAUGGAACAUGCAUUGUUGUCGGGAGAAACCAGACAAGUGAAGCAUAUUGGGUUAAAAUUGUUGAGUAUUGUAAUGAGCAUCGCUCAUUCGAUUCUCCGCGCGACUCAGUUGCAUGCCGAAACCGUUUUAAUUAUAUGAGCAAAUUAAUAAAUAAAUGGGUUGGUGCUUAUGAUGGUGCUAAGCGUUUGCAAGGAAGCGGUUGGUCGAAAGAUGAUGUUUUGGAAAAAGCCCAUGAAUUAUAUGUGAAACACCCCGUUUUCCCAACUUGAAAUUUUUUGCAUAAAUCAGAGUAAAACAGCUAAACAGGAUGCUGCACUUCUUUCAAAUCUGAAUAUAGUAAAAUUACUAAUUAUCUCAAUCAUCAAAUUAAAUCUUAUUGCAGCGGAAAUUAGUUCAACGUUUAAAACAACCUUGGCACAAAGGCCUCAAUGUAAAAUCUCAUAAAAUUAUUCCAACAACAUGUUCAUAAAACUUCAUAAAAUAAUACGUAAGGAACGUAAAGCAACAACAAAAUUCUCAUCCCGUUACGUAUCAGAGCACCUAAGACACACGUGAGAGAAUCCACUCACGACCGCAACUAUUCUUGGUUACCUGCAAGUUACUCAAUUGUGAGGGCAACAUUUCCAAGCAGAAGGGGUGAGAUUUCACAUUCAAUAAUAAUAAGCAUAUAAUUCAUCAAAUUCAUUUAACAACUUAAACUUCAUCAAUUAGUAACACUAACUCUUCGCAUAAAUACUUCAUUAAUUAAUAACAUUAACUCUUCCUAUAAGACUUCAUUAAUAACUCAAUCAACUUCUAAUCAUCAUUAACUUCAUAUUCAUCACAUUAUAUACAACGUCAUACAACACGUAAUAAUCAAAUCAUAAACAUCAUCAUAUAAAAACCUAAUCAUCACAUCAUAAACAUCAUCUUAUAACAUCAUAUAGUUCACAUCAUAAACAUCAUCAUAUAACAACAUAAACAUCACAACAUAAACAUGAAAUAAGGUUAUAAGGUUGCACUCAAAAAGUUUUAGUGAUAGUCAACUAUGAGAAUAGGUCUAAUUACUGUUGAGAUACAUUCAUGUAAUCUUAUAGGAAACAUGAAAUACCAAAGAACAUCUUGUCCUUAGAAAUGAAUAGAGAAAUAGAUAUGGAAUGUUUAGGAUUUAACUUUAUGAUGAAAACCGCAAUCUCAUGACGCAUUUUUAUAUCUAAAUUUUAAUCAAAAAAAUAAUUGCACUUAAUCAAUUUAUUUUUUUCAGCUAAUCAAAACUAAAAAUUAGAUUAGUAUUUACUUAAAGUCCAUGUGAAUCGAUAUUUUACUAGAACCGUACACUUGCGUAAACCUAUCAAAGACCCUAUUGAUGUAUAUGGAAUCGUAGUUACCUAUCAAAGCUACAAAAAAAAUUAGAUCGGAAUUGGGGUCUUUCUGACCAUUCUUGAAGUCGAAGGGGGUUCGUUUACUGGAUGUAGCAUCGAAGGCUUGAGUGAAGAGUUCGAAGGGGUGCACGGGUAUUCAAGGAUCUGAAGAUUCAAGAAGCACCAAAUUUAAGGGUUACUUGGAGUUUGGGGGAGUGUUUUACAUAGGAGUUGAAGAAUUAGGUUUUAAUUUCAAGGAACUUUUGUAAACACAUUUGUAUUCAACUAUUAUAAAAAUAUCGGUGUUAUCUCUCUUUCCCUAUCCUCUUUACUUUUAGCUAUUGCAUGUGAUUAAUUGAAUAAUUUUUAGAAUAAUUGCUAGUGUUGAUCUAAGUUAUUUUUCAUUGAAAAUCAAUCUAAUUCAUUGAAUUAGGUUUCAUAUAAUUUGCUUAGAUCAAUUGAUUGAAAAAUCUAUUCAAUUCUUCAAUUACACAUGUAUUGUGUUUUUGAUUUGAUAACUUAGUAAUUUUGUUCAUGUAGGUUUUUGGUUUGAAAUUGUCUAUUGUUUUGUACAUUGUUCAAGGAAUAUUAAAGUUUGAUUGUAUAAUAAGAUUUGUAUCGUGAAUCUCUCAAUUCUAAGAUUAAGUCUCAUUGCACAUAUAUUUGACCUUUUGAUUCCUUGAUUGUCAUUGUUCGACCACGAAUCCAAUAGUCAAUUUUGUUGAGAGAGAGAGAGAGAGAGAGAGAUUGGAUGGACGGGUGAUAUUAGUGCAGAACACAGCAAAAGAGAAUCGAAAAAAGAGGAUCUUGAUCCUUUUCUAAAGGAGAAUCAACCAUCUAUAUAAUGACAAUUUUAAACCCAUCAAGUACAAAAAUAACGAGCAAGGUGAAAAUAUAAACGUAACAUUGAACUAUUUUAUUAAAUGAUAAUAAACUUCAAAGGGUAAAAUUGGUUUUUAGAUAAACAUAUAAGGGGUUACUAAAAAGGGUUACAAGUUUUUUUUUUUUUUUGAAAGAAGGGAUACAAAUUAUAAGCUUGCGAAGAAAAGACGGUUAUCAAACACAGCCUAUGCAGCUCAUGAAGCUGCCAUAAAAAUUUUAAUAGUGGGGGAUAUUUAAUGAAGAUUAGUAGUAGUGUUACGUUAUUCAUGGAGCUAUAGUUAUAAAUAAUUUUAAAGUGGGUAAUGUUUAUUGAAGAUAGGGAGAUCGAAGCGGAAAUGCUGAAAAAUGAUGAUGGAAAAAUAUAAAUCGAUAUUAUCUUUUAUUUUAGUCAGAAUUUAAAUUUGGUAUUUUUCAGUAUCCAUGUCGGCGAUUUUGACUAAUUUUGAUUAAGUAAACGUCUUAGUUGACUUCAAUGACUAAAGUAACUAAGAACAAAGAGUGAAUGAUUUAAUUCGGGUUUUAUCUAAGUCAUUGACCAAAAUUACAUCUUGUUACACUUUUAAGGAGAAAAAUGGUUGUUUUCCCAAUAAUGUUUUCCAAUAUUAAAUUAAUGUUGUUUUCUGCCUUAGGGAUGUUACCAAUUUGUUAUGUUGGAGUUACCUUUAGUGCUAAGAAACCUUUAGACCAAUAAAAAUAUUUUGAGUCCCUUUUAAAGUGGUAAAUACACUAAUAUAAAGUCAUUGUCAAUUGAUGUUAGGACUAUUUAUUAAGAAUGCAAUAUUUACUUGUUGUUCUUUGGUAGACACUUAGAGUUCAUUUUUGUGGACUGUAUGAACUUGGUUAUAUCAUAGUUAACGUCGUAUUAGACAAACGGAAAUGAAAGACUCAUCUCUCACUCUACUUAGGACUAGCCAAUUGUCAAACUUGGUUACAAUUUAUUUUGUUUGGAAAACUUAAUUUGAAUUUUCUACAAGUCAUGAAAAAUUCAAAUUUCUGUUUUCUGAUUAGAAGAUCAAUAAACGGUUCAAUAUCAUCACAAUCUCCAAAUCAUAACUUCAUUCAUUUGCAAAUCUAGAGCACAUAUAUCACGAUUUUCUAUCAUGAUUUGCAUUGAUAUAAGUAAGUAUAACACAUAUAUUUUACUCUUAACUUAGCCAUACAUUGCGGAUUUACUUAGUAGAUAGAGUAAUGUUUUUUUUUAAACAACAAAUUUUAUUCAUAAGCUAACCCAACACAAGAAGUGAAGAGGCUAGAGGAAACACACAAGACAACAGAUACAUAAAGACAACUAAACCACCCAAACAAUCCUUAAUACAAUAGAAUAACAUCAGAAAAACCAGCCACCUAAACUUCCUAGUACCAUGAAACAAUGUCAGGUCGCGUUGAUUUUUAGGCUGGAGGGCAAUGUUUGUUUCGGAAGUUCUCGACUUUCUUCAACAAAGGGUAGUGCUUUUUGCAGAAAUCGGGUAUAUGGGGUAUAUGUACUGGUUUAUCUUUUGGGAUUAAAUUUUUGAUUUUUGGGAUUAAUGCUUCAACUGCGGGACCAAAGCUAACAGCAUCAGCAAAAUGUUGUUGAGGAGCAAGCAUAAAAGCAGCAAGGAAUAACACUAAUAAGGAUAAGAAAAAUGAAUUAGCCAUUUUAAGAAGUGAUAUAAUUAUUAGUGUUGGUGCAUAAUACAUAUGGAGUAUACUGGUUUUAUACUAGUUAGAGACUCAAUGUGAGUUUAUGGUCAAUCUAAGUCAUGUACUAAAUGUCAAAAUUGUGUAUGAAUUGAAUUAUUCAACAAUGUUACAUGUUCCUUCCAUGUAUUUGCUACUAGUUGAUGAUCAGUCCCUACCUAUCCUUUAAUUUUCCACACAACAAGACCAUUCAGUAAUAUUGGCUCUAUCUCUCCACUUGUUUGCCCACCAUGGUUUAGCUGAAAAAACAGUGCAACUUGUUUCAAUAACAUUAAUAUAUAUAGAUAUUACUAUUUAUAUAUGCAUUGAACCCUGUAUGAUUUAUUUAUUUAUAAAAAUUCCAAAUAGGUUACUUUAUUUGUCAUUUAUGCUUGAAUAUGAAAAUACAAAACAGUGUUUUUUCUCAUUAAAAUUUUUACUAUAAAGAUUUUUAAUAACUUAGUGUUUACCAAUUGCACUUACUAAUUCUUAAUUAUAGAAUGAUGAUUAAAAAUUGUAUGUUUCAUAACUGUUUUUCAUCACAAGUUUAUAGUUCAUUUCUCAGACGUUAUUCCAAAUAACGUUUGAGAUUAUAGGUUAUCAUUUUAAUUUCAUGUUUACCUUUAUUAUUUUGUUUAAGAUUUAUUUUUAUCCUUUUUAAUAUAUACUAUUUAUAAAGAAAAUAUAGGGAUUUUGGGCUGACUUUUUUGUUAUUCCAAUUAUACCUUUAAAUAAAAAAAAAUCAAAUAAUGUGAUAUGGUUGGUGUUAAAUAAGAAUUUUUGUUAUAUUAUUGUUGUCAUUGAGAAUCAUAAAUAUUGUUUGUUGAGUUUGUUACAUUUGAAAGUCACAUAUCAUACUUUUAAUUUUUGUCCAUAUCAAAAAAUUUAUAUAAAAUAUCGUUUGUAAUUUACACGCAGAAUUUCAAUAAAUUAUCGUAAAUAAUUUAUACACAUUAACGUAAUAAAAAGAGCAGAAAGAUGAACAUGUGAAUGCUCGUCUUUAGUAAGUAAGAUUGUCUUAUAUACUUACAUUAUUUUAGGUCUAAAUUUCAGAAACCAUUAUUUGACAAUAUUUUUGACAAUUUUAUCUCACAUACUCACAUUAUAUUUUUACUUCUCUUUUUGUUGUUUUGGUUUUUAUUUUCAUACCUAAUUUUCCUUGUAAAUCUAUAGUUGUCUCAUAAAUUAUCGUUAAAAUUGUUGUUCAAAUAACACAACUCUUAUUUCUAAUACUCAAAAUUUGUUCAAAUUAAGUUUUUAAAGAACUUCUAAUAAAGUCAGAUUAAGGUUUUUUUGAACUUUUUAAAUACUUAAAUUGAAUUUUCUCCAAUAUACAUAUUAGAGAAAGAAAAAAAAUAAUGAUAGGAGGGAGAUGCAAAACUUAUGUUUUCUUUCUCUAGAAACAUAUUUUGAGUUUUCAAUAUCAUCAAAAUCUCAAAAUCAUAAACUUUAUUUAUUUGCAAAUCUAGAGCACAUAUAGCGCGAUUUUCUUUCAUAAUUUACAUUGAUAUAACACAUAUUAUGUUCUUACCUUGCCCAAACAUUCGGGAUUUAAUUGAUGAUGUAAAAGACGUUUUUAAAUGUAGAAUAAGAAAGAUGGAAAACCUCCAAGCCAAAUUAUACACAAGAUAUACAAAUUAUACACAAAAAUUUCAAAUUUCAAUUUUCUCGAGAGUAUUCUUAAAUGAUCAAUCAAUGAUUCAAUAUAAUCACAAUCUCAAAAUCAUAAACUUUAUUUAUUUUCAAAUCUAGAGCACAUAUAGCGGGAGGAGAUUGUCUCGUGUGAUUUUUCUCUCAUGUGUAAUCCAGACCCUCCAUUAAAUAUGUGAGAUAAUGUGUUUGUAAUAUAAAAUGACCGAACGCAAGAUAAAUUGUUUUUUUCUAAACAAUAAAUUUUAUUCAUAAGCAUUCCCGUGAGCUUAGCUCAGUUGGUACGGAUAUUGCAUUUUAUAUGCAGUGGCUGAG
rnacentral:lncRNA from 1 species